UGCCUUUUACUACUUCUUCCUAAAUCAUAAAACAUACACACAAACUUCCACCAAUACACCGAUUCCAAGUCAUCAAUGCCAAUAUCUUCACACGUACACACGACACCGCAACUCUACAACAAUUCCAUUACUGAAUGCAUUCAUCUCCUCUUUCAAGUUACUGCAAAGACGCACAUUUAAUCCCCAUUAUGUUUUGACACACGGAAUUGGCAAACAUUUUGCCAAUAGUGUUUCCUACGCACAUUUUCAUCCCAUAUCACAAUGCUCUGGCUUAUCUGCUUGAGCUUACCGCAAAAUGCGAAAAAAUGGUUUUACCUGUAACCUUAUGAAAGUGUGACGUUUUGUGCGUUUGGGGAUGUUCAUUUUAAGUGUGGUGAUGGUUUUGUACUUCAGUUUCAUUUCAUCCAUCGUGUUGGAAAAAAAAUCGAUCAUCAUAAAUUACAUUUUAUCUAUAUUGGGUUCAUUAAAAAAUUGAUUCUGUUUUCAAAAAAGCUAUAUUCAUUGAACUGGGUCAUUCUCUGUAUAAAUAAUGCAAAUUCGGUCGCAUUCAAUAAGAUUUUCAGGUGCCAAAAAUUUGGCGCGAUCGGCCAUAAGUCACAAAUCCAAAAAUUUGACCUUAAUGAAUCUGUGAUAUCAUUGCGGAAACAUCAAGUUUAAUGCUUUAAUAACUAGAGACAAUCAUUACUUUUAUCAAAUGUCUGCAGAAACUUUUCCGCAGAGCUCAUGAAGUAGAUGUUCUUGAAUAGAUUUUUUUUUGAAUUUUUCUAAUUUCAGUCCUAUGCAUUUAUCACUCUAAAAGUCUCAUCCAUUCGGCAUGUAUUUGAUUGAUUGUGUUCGAUUCUUACAUAGUUGAAAUCGAUGUUUAUCACAAAUUUAGAUGCCAUUCUCUAUCAUUUUAUUUGAAUAAGUGUGACUGAAUUAGAUGCUUUUUCCACAAGGCAUAAAAAACUGAAAAUUUUCAACAAGCAAAAAAAAAAAAAUGUUUCCCAUUUCGACCCCUUCGGACGUUCUUCUAUAAAACUUCCCUAUAAUCUUAAACAAUGAUUUACUGGUGAAUUUAGCUGCAACCGUUUGCGACCAGAUUGGUGGUAGUCACUUAAGUGACGUACUUUCAAUUUAUUCAAAAACUAACAAAUACCUCCCGCAUUGCAUUAAACGGAGCACUUUUUUCCAACUUUCACCCUCUUUAUCCAUCACGUUAUGUGCAUUUCACUAUUCUUGAGCAGUUUUGACUACCGUGGACCGCCUAAACUAAUAUUAGUAUAUCUAAAUCAGUUGGUAACCAAAACUGCAAAAUAAUAAAUUUCGGCUCCGUAAGGCUAAAAAAUCGAUUGAGCCCAUUUUUCACAAACAAUACAAAAACGCAUUUGGAAUGCAAAUAUGCAUCAAAUUUAGCGGUUUCAUCAUAAAACUCGAUUAAAUCAUAUUUAUGACCGCCCUCAUAUGGGGCUGGAUCCACUGUGGAACGUUUUGUAUUCCUAUAAUAUUAUUUUUUCACUAUAUAAGAGAUUGCAAAAUCCGGUUCAAUGAAUAUUCCCAGUAUUUUUUUACGAACAAAAAGUAUAGAAGCUUACUUUGCCGAAGAACGGUUUAUUUUGUUUUUCAUUAAUUAAUAGGUAAUUGAUAGUACAUUUCGAUUUCUUACAUCAACAUGCACUACAUUUCAUACUUGCAUUUGUUAUUCCGUGAAAUAUUUCUUUGCUGUAUCACAAAGUUUUGCUUUACCGUGUUUUUGGUUUCUUUUUACGUUGCAUGGUAUAUUAGUAUUUAGAUUUCUCUACUAGAUGCUUUCACAGAAUUGGCAACAGUUAUGAUGACAUUGUUUCGGUUUGAAACUUUGCAGCACAAAUGUAUUCCCAGUACUAGAUACAUAAACAAUUACAUGGGAUGGGAAGAUCCACUUGCAAAAAGCUACAUUCACUUGUUGCUAACUCGCUAUAGAAACAUAUUAUCAAAAUACAAUAUGGAAGACUUUUUCAUAUUAGUAUUAUCUGAAACUUUGCCUAACGACAUACUGACGUAGCGUUAAUAGUUCAGUUAACAGAAGCCAGUAAACGUAACUCUCCACGGCGUAAAUAAAAUUUACAUUCACCGCGUGAAGACUUGCUAUCACUGCGACUUCGACUCCUCUGCGACUCUUACGUUAUUCGGUAAACUUUAAGGUAAAGUACAAGGCAAACGUCUUCCAUACACUAAAUACACUCUUUUUUAUAGGAAGCUUUUAAACUGGGAUAGUAGAAAGUGAAAUUCUUUGCAAGUGAAAUCCCCUGAUCCCAUUAACUAUUUCGUUGUAUACUAAACAUAGUGUAUUAGGUAGGAUAAAUAUAAUGGAGCCUGCCUUUUCGUAAUAUCCAUUUUUGCAUUUUUAUCUGUAUUAACCCUUUAAAGCUCAUGGUAUCUGUAGACUUUAGAGCAUCAUCACUUUUUGGCGAAUCCGACCUGAACCAGUUCACUUCAAUAUGUUUUAAGAGUGCUUGGGAAGAGGAGCUAAGCUUAUUAGAGUACUUGUCCACUCUAAUUAUUGGUUCAAUAGUAAAACUAUUGAUAAACAAUCAAGAACUAUUGAUAAACAAUUAAAAACUUUUUUUACGAUUUCGAUAAAUUGAAGUGAUUCGUAACACUUGUUCGAGCACUUUUUAUACAAAGCAUUCAUUAGCAUUCGAAACUUUGAAUGAAGUCGUGGGCGGGAAGGGUCAACGAGAUUUUUAGGCCUAGGCUAGUUCAUCUCGGGACCCACGUUUUGCUUCCCUUCCGAAGGAAGAACUCACAUUUAAUGAUUUUGUCGGGAGUGGGUUUCGACACCAGGUCCUCGGCGUGAUAGUCACGUACUUUAACCACCACACCAGGUCCGCUCCUUCAAAUUCGUAGAUAUUCUAUGUUCAAGGAAGCCAAUAAAAUUGCCACACAAGGCCAUGCAAUGGAACAACUUUGUCUUAAAUUUCCAAAGAUGGCCGUACAAUGGCUGCCUUGCAAAUACCGAAAGCACGGAUCUCGUCAUCCAAGCAACAAACAGAGCUGAAAAAGCAAUGAGUAGCCUUGCUCACUCGCGGUAAACAUUGAGCAGCAUUUUCGUUUUCGGGCAUUUUGUGGUUGACGAGAUCGGU